CCUACGGGAGGCAGCAGUGAGGAAUAUUGGUCAAUGGGCUUACGCCUGAACCAGCCAAGUCGCGUGAGGGAAGACUGCCCUAUGGGUUGUAAACCUCUUUUGUCAGGGAGCAACGCCGGCUACGUGUAGCCGGACUGAGAGUACCUGAAGAAAAAGCAUCGGCUAACUCCGUGCCAGCAGCCGCGGUAAUACGGAGCAUGCGAGCGUUAUCCGGAUUUAUGGGGUUUAAAGGGUGCGUAGGCGGAAUGCCAAGUCAGCGGUAAAAUCGCGGGGCUCAACCUCGCUCCGCCGUUGAAACUGGCGUUCUUGAGUGGGCGAGAAGUAUGCGGAAUGCGUGGUGUAGCGGUGAAAUGCAUAGAUAUCACGCAGAACUCCGAUUGCGAAGGCAGCAUACCGGCGCCCAACUGACGCUGAAGCACGAAAGCGUGGGUAUCGAACAGGAUUAGAUACCCCAGUAGUC
rnacentral:rRNA from 1 species